CUGAUUAUUGAAAGUUGCUUGCAUCUUGAUUUAAUUUUGAACGAGUGGCGGACGGGUGAGUAACACGUGGGUAACCUGCCCUUAAUUGGGGGAUAACAUUUGGAAACAGAUGCUAAUACCGCAUAAAUCCAAGAACCGCAUGGUUCUUGGCUGAAAGAUGGCGUAAGCUAUCGCUUUUGGAUGGACCCGCGGCGUAUUAGCUAGUUGGUGAGGUAACGGCUCACCAAGGCAAUGAUACGUAGCCGAACUGAGAGGUUGAUCGGCCACAUUGGGACUGAGACACGGCCCAAACUCCUACGGGAGGCAGCAGUAGGGAAUCUUCCACAAUGGACGCAAGUCUGAUGGAGCAACGCCGCGUGAGUGAAGAAGGCUUUCGGGUCGUAAAACUCUGUUGUUGGAGAAGAAUGGUCGGCAGAGUAACUGUUGUCGGCGUGACGGUAUCCAACCAGAAAGCCACGGCUAACUACGUGCCAGCAGCCGCGGUAAUACGUAGGUGGCAAGCGUUAUCCGGAUUUAUUGGGCGUAAAGCGAGCGCAGGCGGUUUUUUAAGUCUGAUGUGAAAGCCCUCGGCUUAACCGAGGAAGUGCAUCGGAAACUGGGAAACUUGAGUGCAGAAGAGGACAGUGGAACUCCAUGUGUAGCGGUGAAAUGCGUAGAUAUAUGGAAGAACACCAGUGGCGAAGGCGGCUGUCUGGUCUGUAACUGACGCUGAGGCUCGAAAGC
rnacentral:rRNA from 2 species